rnacentral:rRNA from 1 species
UACAGAGGUCCCAAGCGUUGUUCGGAAUCACUGGGCGUAAAGGGUGCGUAGGCGGUAUGGUAAGACUUGGGUGAAAUCUCCAUGCUUAACGUGGAGGGAGCCUGGGAGACUGCCGUGCUAGAGGAUUGGAGGGGAGACUGGAAUUCUUGGAGUAGCAGUGAACUGCGUAGAUAUAAAGAGGAACACCAGUGGCGAAGGCGAGUCUCUGGACAAUUCCUGACGCUGAGGCACGAAGGCCAGGGGAUCAAACGGGAUUAGAUACCCCGGUAGUCCUGGCAGUAAACGGUGCACACUUGCUGUGUGGGGGAUCGACCCCUUACGUGGCGCAGCCAACGCGCUAAGUGUGCCGCCUGGGGAGUACGGUCGCAAGACUAAA